rnacentral:rRNA from 1 species
GACGAACGCUGGCGGCGUGCUUAACACAUGCAAGUCGAACGGUAAGGCACAGCUUUCGCUGUGGGCCCGAGUGGCGAAGGUGUGUGUCACGUGAGCGUAACCUGCCCUUGACUUUGGUAUAACUUCAGGACACUGGGGCAAACACCGGAUAGGCUGUCCCGGCGCGUGGUGGGGGUGGGAAAGUUUCGGCGGUUGGGGUUGGACUCCCGGCUUAUCAGCUUGUUGGUGGGGUAAUGGCUUACCAAGGCUUCGACGGGUAGCCGGCCUGAGAGGGUGACCGGCCACACUGGGACUGAGACACGGCCCAGACUCCUACGGGAGGCAGCAGUGGGGAAUAUUGCACAAUGGGCGGAAGCCUGAUGCAGCAACGCCGCGUGAGGGAUGACGGCCUUCGGGUUGUAAACCGCUUUUGGCAGGGAAGAAGCGAAAGUGACGGUACCUGCAGAAAAAGCGCCGGCUAACUACGUG